rnacentral:rRNA from 1 species
UACAGAGGGUGCGAGCGUUAAUCGGAAUUACUGGGCGUAAAGCGUGCGUAGACGGUAGCGUAAGUCAGAUGUGAAAGCCCCGGGCUCAACCUGGGAAUUGCAUUUGAGACUGCUCUGCUCGGGUGCGGAAGAGGGAAGCGGAAUUUCCGGUGUAGCGGUGAAAUGCGUAGAUAUCGGAAGGAACACCAGUGGCGAAAGCGGCUUCCUGGUCCAGCACCGACGUCAGGCACGAAAGCGUGGGGAGCAAACAGG